ACGAACGCUGGCGGCGUGCUUAACCCCUGCAAGUCGAACGGAAAGGCCCUGCUUUUGUGGGGUGCUCGAGUGGCGAACGGGUGAGUAACACGUGAGUAACCUGCCCUUGACUUUGGGAUAACUUCAGGAAACUGGGGCUAAUACCGGAUAGGAGCUCCUGCUGCAUGGUGGGGGUUGGAAAGUUUCGGCGGUUGGGGAUGGACUCGCGGCUUAUCAGCUUGUUGGUGGGGUAGUGGCUUACCAAGGCUUUGACGGGUAGCCGGCCUGAGAGGGUGACCGGCCACAUUGGGACUGAGAUACGGCCCAGACUCCUACGGGAGGCAGCAGCGGGGAAUAUUGCACAAUGGGCGGAAGCCUGAUGCAGCAACGCCGCGUGCGGGAUGACGGCCUUCGGGUUGUAAACCGCUUUCGCCUGUGACGAAGCGUGAGUGACGGUAAUGGGUAAAGAAGCACCGGCUAACUACGUG
rnacentral:rRNA from 1 species